rnacentral:rRNA from 1 species
UACGGGGGGGGCAAGCGUUGUUCGGAAUUACUGGGCGGAAAGGGUUCGUAGGUGGCUCGCUAAGUCAGACGUGAAAUCCCUCAGCUUAACUGGGGAACUGCGUCUGAGACUGGCAGGCUCGAGUGCAGGAGAGGAACGCGGAAUUCCAGGUGUAGCGGUGAAAUGCGUAGAUAUCUGGAGGAACACCGGUGGCGAAGGCGGCGUUCUGGACUGCAACUGACACUGAGUGAACGAAAGCCAGGGGAGCAAACGGG